CUGAGUGGUAUUUCUUUGAGA
rnacentral:misc_RNA from 1 species